AGAGUUUGAUCCUGGCUCAGGACGAACGCUGGCGGCGUGCUUAACACAUGCAAGUCGAACGGAGCACCCCUGAAGGAGUUUUCGGACAACGGAAGGGAAUGCUUAGUGGCGGACUGGUGAGUAACGCGUGAGGAACCUGCCUUUCGGAGGGGGACAACAGUUGGAAACGACUGCUAAUACCGCAUGACGUAUCGGGAUCGCAUGGUCUUGAUACCAAAGAUUUUAUCGCCGAAAGAUGGCCUCGCGUCUGAUUAGGUAGUUGGUGGGGCAACGGCCCACCAAGCCGACGAUGCGUAGGGGUUCUGAGAGGAAGGUCCCCCACAUUGGAACUGAGACACGGUCCAAACUCCUACGGGAGGCAGCAGUGAGGAAUAUUGGUCAAUGGCCGGAAGGCUGAACCAGCCAAGUCGCGUGAGGGAAUAAGGCCCUACGGGUCGUAAACCUCUUUUGUCAGGGAGCAAGGCCGCCCACGUGUGGACGGAAGGAGAGUACCUGGAGAAAAAGCAUCGGCUAACUCCGUGCCAGCAGCCGCGGUAAUACGGAGGAUGCGAGCGUUAUCCGGAUUUAUUGGGUUUAAAGGGUGCGUAGGCGGCCUGCCAAGUCAGCGGUAAAAUUGCGGGGCUCAACCCCGUACAGCCGUUGAAACUCCCGGGCUCGAGUGGGCGAGAAGUAUGCGGAAUGCGUGGUGUAGCGGUGAAAUGCAUAGAUAUCUCGCAGAACCCCGAUUGCGAAGGCAGCAUACCGGCGCCCGACUGACGGUGAGGCACGAAAGUGCGGGGAUCAAACAAGAUUAGAUACCCUGGUAGUCCGCACAGUAAACGACCCAUUAUAGCUGUCUGGGGGGGGAUAGACCACUGGGUGGCACAGCGAAAGCGUUAAGCAUUUCAUCUGGGGGAGAACGCCGGCAACGGUGGAACUCAAAGGAAUUGACGGGGGCCCGCACAAGCGGAAGGAACAUGAGGUUUAAUUAGAUGAAACCGCGAGGAACCUUACCCGGGCUCAAACACUGAAGGGACAUUCCCUGAAAGGGGAUUGGCCAUCAAUGGUCUUUGGCGAGGUGGUGCAUGGUUGUAGUCAGCUCGUGCCGUGAGGUGUCGGCUUAAGUGCCAUAACGAGCGCAACCCCCACCGACAGUUGCUAACUGGUCAAGCAGAGGACUCUGUCGGGACUGCCGGCGCAAGCUGCGAGGAAGGCGGGGAUGACGUCAAAUCAGCACGGCCCUUACGUCCGGGGCGACACACGUGUUACAAUGGCAGGUACAGCGGGAUGCCAUGGGGCGACCCAGAGCGGAACCCGAAAACCUGUCUCAGUUCGGAUUGGAGUCUGCAACCCGACUCCAUGAAGCUGGAUUCGCUAGUAAUCGCGCAUCAGCCACGGCGCGGUGAAUACAAAGCCGGGCCUUGCACACACCGCCCGUCAAG
rnacentral:rRNA from 1 species